rnacentral:rRNA from 1 species
GACGAACGCUGGCGGCGUGCCUAAUACAUGCAAGUCGAACGCAGUGGGGACGGGUGAGUAACACGUGGGUAACCUCCCAUCAGAGGGGAUAACACUUGGAAACAGGUGCUAAACCGAUACUGAUGGAUGGACCCGCGGUGCAUUAGCUAGUUGGUGAGGUAACGGCUCACCAAGGCCACGAUGAAUAGCCGACCGGAGGUGGUGAUUGGCCAACCUGGUACGGAGGCACGGCCCAAACUCCUACGUGAGGCAGCAGUAGGAAAUCUGCGGCAGUGGACGAGAGUCUGACCGAGCAACGCCGCGUGAGUGAAGAAGGUGUUCGGAUCGUAAAACUAUGAUGUUAGAGAAGCGGUAUCUAACCAGAAAGCCACGGCUAACUACGUGCCAGCAGCCGCGGUAAUAC